GCUGCAUCUGUUCACACACUCACAGUGGAACGCAUACCGAAGCAAAGUGGAUCGCACGCGGUGGAUCUCCCCGACGAGCAUUUGUCAACAAGGACUCUGAAGUUGCCUCUGAAGCCGGCUCUGAUGAGACAGCAUUUCUAGAGUAUACAGACUGCUGGGUGGAAGACACCAAAGGAAGGUUCCCUUUUUUAUGCUAUCUGU